GCCAAUAGUUAUUGUGACUACAGAGCCUGAGGUCAUAAUUGCUAUGUUGUUUAAGAGUACUUCCUUAUGAGGAAAGAUAAGGGAGUGAUGUCAGCAGAAAAACAGAGUAGGAAGCCCUAGACCCACCUUCCCUACACGAACACACAAUUGGGCAAGGUCCAUAUUAGAUUGAGAUUUAGUGUCUGGAUCUGAACUGGAAAACAGAAAGGAGAGCUAGGAAAUUACUAGAAAAACACGUGCCACCAAGCAUGAGAAAAACUAACACAGAAGCAAAAGGGCAAGAAUUCCCGUGACAAAUGCUAUUUAACUGCUAAAAAAGGAGCCCCUUUAGGCUGGAAGAAGAGGUCAGAGAGUUCCAGGAAGGUGUCUCUAGAAAACAGUGAUGAAGGAUCAGGGGGAAAAGGAUACAGAAGCCAAUGGAAUCAAAUACAAUAGGGAAGAUAUUAUACUGAAGACUAAAAAUGCCCAUAUGGAUUUGUUAACAUGAAAGUUCAUUGUUGACCUUGACAGGAGCAGUUUCAGUGGAGGUACAAAGGGGCUUCUGUCGGACACCAGAAAAGUUAGUGGGUCUCUGCAGAGGACAACGAACAACUGACCUUGGACGUGAUUGAUGAGGACUCCUGCCUCAAACCCGUAAGGCCAUCACCUGGCCAGACAUGAACCAAAUACUCCAAGACAAGGAAUAGACCAGCAGUCAUUACCUGCCCUCUGAGGACAACUUUUAAGCCACAUAGCCCAGCCUGCAGGACCCAGAGGGUAGAGGAAAUGUCUUCCUCCUCUACAGUUUGGCAACUCUGUGGAACAAAACUUCAUCUACUGGACACUGAUCACUCCUGGACUUCUACAGCCAAGAGAUCCUGGACCCUUGACAAGAGCCUGUAGGAGGCAGUGGGUUUUACCUACACUACACAUCUCUGACUGGGAGCAAUCGAGAGGAAAGUGGUAUUACAGAAAGCGGUGUAGCAGGACUCAUCUUGACAAGGAGAUUCGUCGAACUGAAAUUGGUGCUGUUUGUAGACCUUGAAUGAUUAGCUAUCUCUGUACUAAUAUUCAGGGAUUCAAGCGAAGAAG
rnacentral:lncRNA from 1 species